GUUUUCGUAGUGUAGUGGUUAUCACAUGCUCUUCACACGUGCAAGGUUCCCAGUUCAAACCAGGGCGGAAACA
rnacentral:tRNA from 1 species